CAGGGACAAGAUUGUAGACCUACACAAGGCUGGGAUGGGCUACAAGACCAUCACCAAGCAGCUUGGUCAGAAGGUGACAACAGUUGGUGCAAUUAUUUGCAAAUUGAAGAAAUACAAUAACUGUCAGUCUCCCUCAGUCUGGUGCUCCAUGCAAGAUCUCACCUCAUGGAGUUUCAACGAUCAUAAGAACGGUGAGGAAUCAGCCAAGAACUACACGGGAGGCAGAGCCAGAUUAAUAGCCCAGUGAGCCUGGUACUAACAAUUAUGAGGGGCCUAAGUACAGAAUCUGAAAACCAAAAACACUAAAACAGCUAUACUUCUCAAGUGUUAUGUAUCUGUAUGAGAUGUUGCCGGAGGGAAACUCAUAUGACGCAGCUAUAAGAAAACUCAGAUUCUCUUAAAAUAUGCUAAUCUCUCUAAUUCAUGCUUUCAUCUAUCAAGUAAAUCCAUAACCCCUAACAGCAGUCUCCAGUGAAGCAGGAAGUCGAUGGGAGGUGUAAAAGGGUGGGCCACUGACGCGAUUCAUGUAACCAGAACUCCCGAAAGGGACGAACAUGCCCAAAAAGGAGGCAUGUCUGUCCAAAGAAUUAGAAGGCUAGCCUGGCAUGAAUGCAUGUCAGGCU